rnacentral:rRNA from 1 species
CAAUAGCGUAUAUUUAAGUUGUUGCAGUUAAAAAGCUCGUAGUUGGAUUUCGGUUAAGAGCGACCGGUCCGCCGUUUGGUGUGCACUGGUUGGUUUUAACUUCCUGUAGAGGACGUGCUCUGGGUUUAACGACCUGGACUCGGAGUCUACGUGGUUACUUUGAAAAAAUUAGAGUGUUCAAAGCGGGCUUACGCUUGAAUAUUUCAGCGUGGAAUAACACUAUAGGACUCCUGUCCUAUUUCGUUGGUCUCGGGACGGGAGUAAUGAUUAAGAGGAACAGUUGGGGGCAUUCGUAUUUCAUUGUCAGAGGUGAAAUUCUUGGAUUUAUGAAAGACGAACUUCUGCGAAAGCAUUUGCCAAGGAUGUUUUCAUUAA